GACGAGCGCUGGCGGCGUGCUUAACACAUGCAAGUCGAACGGAAAGGCCCUGCUUUUGUGGGGUGCUCGAGUGGCGAACGGGUGAGUAACACGUGAGUAACCUGCCCUUGACUUUGGGAUAACUUCAGGAAACUGGGGCUAAUACCGGAUAGGAGCUCCUGCUGCAUGGUGGGGGUUGGAAAGUUUCGGCGGUUGGGGAUGGACUCGCGGCUUAUCAGCUUGUUGGUGGGGUAGUGGCUUACCAAGGCUUUGACGGGUAGCCGGCCUGAGAGGGUGACCGGCCACAUUGGGACUGAGAUACGGCCCAGACUCCUACGGGAGGCAGCAGUGGGGAAUAUUGCACAAUGGGCGGAAGCCUGAUGCAGCAACGCCGCGUGCGGGAUGACGGCCUUCGGGUUGUAAACCGCUUUCGCCUGUGACGAAGCGUGAGUGUCGGUAAUGGGUAAAGAAGCACCGGCUAACUACGUG
rnacentral:rRNA from 1 species